CCAGCACCCCGAGUGGUCGGGACGAUUAUUGGGCCUAAAGCAUCCGUAGCCGGUUUUACAAGUCCUCCGUUAAAUCCAACUGCUUAACAGAUGGGCCGCGGAGGAUACUAUAAGACUAGGAGGCAGGAGAGGCAAGCGGUACUCAAUGGGUAGGGGUAAAAUCCGUUGAUCCAUUGAAGACCACCAGUGGCGAAGGCGGCUUGCCAGAAUGCGCUCGACGGUGAGGGAUGAAAGCUGGGGGGAGCAAACCGGAUUAGAUACCCGGGUAGUCCCAGCUGUAAACGAUGCAGACUCGGUGAUGGACUAGCUUCAUGCUAGUCCAGUGCCGCAGGGAAGCCGUUAAGUCUGCCGCCUGGGUAGUACGGUCGCAAGACUG
rnacentral:rRNA from 1 species